AUUGAACGCUGGCGGCAUGCUUUACACAUGCAAGUCGGACGGCAGCACAGAGAAGCUUGCUUCUUGGGUGGCGAGUGGCGAACGGGUGAGUAACAUAUCGGAACGUACCGAGCAGUGGGGGAUAACUAAUCGAAAGAUUAGCUAAUACCGCAUAUCUUCUGAGGAAGAAAGCAGGGGACCAUUUGGCCUUGCGCUGUUUGAGCGGCCGAUAUCUGAUUAGCUAGUUGGUGGGGUAAAGGCCUACCAAGGCGACGAUCAGUAGCGGGUCUGAGAGGAUGAUCCGCCACACUGGGACUGAGACACGGCCCAGACUCCUACGGGAGGAAGCAGUGGGGAAUUUUGGACAAUGGGCGCAAGCCUGAUCCAGCCAUGCCGCGUGUCUGAAGAAGGCCUUCGGGUUGUAAAGGACUUUUGUCAGGGAAGAAAAGUGCGGGGUUAAUACCCCUGUCUGAUGACGGUACCUGAAGAAUAAGCACCGGCUAACUACGUG
rnacentral:rRNA from 1 species